rnacentral:rRNA from 1 species
UCCUACGGGAGGCAGCAGUGAGGAAUAUUGGUCAAUGGCCGAGAGGCUGAACCAGCCAAGUCGCGUGAGGGAAGACGGCCCUACGGGUUGUAAACCUCUUUUGUCGGGGAGCAAAGCGAACCACGUGUGGUUCAUUGAGAGUACCCGAAGAAAAAGCAUCGGCUAACUCCGUGCCAGCAGCCGCGGUAAUACGGAGGAUGCGAGCGUUAUCCGGAUUUAUUGGGUUUAAAGGGUGCGCAGGCGGAAUGUCAAGUCAGCGGUAAAAUUUCGGGGCUCAACCCCGUCGUGCCGUUGAAACUGGCGUU